UACGUAGGGACUAAGCGUUGUUCGGAUUUACUGGGCGUAAAGGGCGCGUAGGCGGCGUGGCAAGUCACUUGUGAAAUCUCCGGGCUUAACUCGGAACGGCCAAGUGAAACUGCCAUGCUAGAGUGCAGAAGGGGCAAUCGGAAUUCUUGGUGUAGCGGUGAAAUGCGUAGAUAUCAAGAGGAACACCUGAGGUGAAGACGGGUUGCUGGGCUGACACUGACGCUGAGGCGCGAAAGCCAGGGGAGCAAACGGG
rnacentral:rRNA from 1 species